rnacentral:snRNA from 1 species
GGAUGUGAGGGCGAUCUGGCUGCGACAUCUGUCACCCCACUGAUCGCCAGUGUUGAUUCGGCUGAUCUGGCUGGCUAGGCGGGUGUCCCUUCCUCCCUCACCGCUCCAUGUGCGUCCCUCCCGAAGCUGCGCGCUUGGUCGAAGAGGACGACCAUCCCUGAUAGAGGAGGACCGUUCUUCGGUCAAGGGUAUACGAGUAGCUGCGCUCCCCUGUUAGAACCUCCAAACAAGCUCUCAAGAAUGAGAUGAAUUUUCUAGAUAGUUAUAAGAUUUGCAGGGGCAAUUUCUU